GGCCAGACUCCUACGGGAGGCAGCAGUGGGGAAUAUUGCACAAUGGGGGAAACCCUGAUGCAGCAACGCCGCGUGGGUGAAGGAGCGUUUCGGCGCGUAAAGCCCUGUCAGCGGGGAAGAAGAAAGACGGUACCCGACCAAGAAGCCCCGGCUAACUACGUGCCAGCAGCCGCGGUAAUACGUAGGGGGCAAGCGUUAUCCGGAUUCACUGGGUGUAAAGGGAGCGUAGACGGCGGCGCAAGUCUGGAGUGAAAGCCCGGGGCCCAACCCCGGGACUGCUCUGGAAACUGCGGCGCUGGAGUACGGGAGGGGCAGGCGGAAUUCCUGGUGUAGCGGUGAAAUGCGUAGAUAUCAGGAGGAACACCGGCGGCGAAGGCGGCCUGCUGGACCGUGACUGACGUUGAGGCUCGAGAGCGUGGGGAGCAAACAGGAUUAGAUACCCGCGUAC
rnacentral:rRNA from 1 species